UAAUAGAUUAGGGGGGUUUUAGACCAUUUUCUCAAUAAAGUGACUCAAUGUAUGAAAGAAAGACAUCAAAUCCAAGAAGAUUUGUGGUGGACUGAACAAAAAUAGUUCACCCUCAAAUCUGAACGUAAGCAUAAGCUAAUUACAGGAUCGUGUAGACGUCUUUGAAUCAUAGUAUGCACUCAAAAGAAAGUGCAUGAGUAGCAUCAACACAAAUAUUAUGUGUUGAUAGACAUCAUAGGCCGACUAAUAAGAUCAGUAACAAGUAUAUAAUUACAAUUAUAAAACAAAUAGACAGAUUCA
rnacentral:lncRNA from 1 species